GACCGAUAUGCACAAUAAGAUUCCAAAUAUUUAUCUUGUUACUUUCUCUAUUUGUUCCAACCUUGAAGGUUCCCUUAUAAAUAUCGUGUCUCAUAUCAAGUAUCUCAAACGUGGAGGAUUUGAGUUCAAGCUGAUCAACAAUGAAGAUGUCAUUUGUGCUCGUUUUUACAUUUGGUUUGGUCAUCAUCCUCUCCAAAACUGGUGUGGAAGGGAGAAGGCUUGAGGAGAAUCCCUUGGAUAGCUCUCUUCGAGGAGUUCAGGGAAAGGAAUACGUGCAUGCUGAUAACAAAGUUGUGUUUAGCUCCAGUAGUACUGGUGGAAGCAACGACGAGGAGGCCAAGAAAGACAUCAACAGUAUUCCCGGAGAGAAGAAGGUAAAAGCUGCUGCAGAUGCAUCACUUGGCUAUUCCUUUGGUGCCACGAAGGAUGCCGAGAACGACAAGAUGUUUGAUGCUAGUCGUAUGGCACGCACUCGACCCACGGACAAUUUACCACACCACGGCUUAAGGGAUUCUGCUAAACGCCCUUAAGACUACGCUGCUGCCAUGAACUGCUAUUUGCUACAGUAGUAUAUAGGAUGUGUGAGAUUUGCUCAGUAUAUGGGGAAAUGCUUUCAAGUACUUAUUGCCAUGUAUAGCUCUAGAUCAUUAUGUCAUGGAUGGCUGGGGCUUUUCUGUCAAUGUACUGAACUACUACUGCAUAAAAUAAAAUGUCUAUGGCUGCCUUGGCUUGUUA